GCAGGCUGCGACCCGCCUGCAUGAAGUUGGAAUCGCUAGUAAUCGCGGAUCAGCAUGCCGCGGUGAAUACGUUCCCGGGCCUUGUACACACCGCCCGUCACACCAUGAGAGUCGGGAACACCCGAAGUCCGUAGCCUAACCGCAAGGGGGGCGCGGCCGAAGGUGGGUUCGAUAAUUGGGGUGAAGUCGUAACAAGGUAAC
rnacentral:rRNA from 1 species